rnacentral:lncRNA from 1 species
GGUUUCUUCCCGCUCCAGCUUAUGGAUCGUCUUGGUCAAGAUCUUAGCGUCAGCCUUCAGCUCCUUGAUCUUGUUCAUCCUUAGUUCACUCCUCUGAACCAGGUCGACGUUCAUAUUAACGAUUUCAGCAUGCUGUGCUUUAGUCGACUUCAGUUCUUCCUUGGAGGCCUUCACAUCUUCCUUGGCUUGGGCCAACUCUUUCUGAAGUCCUUCAUUGGUAUGAAGGAUGCCUUCACGUUG